CAUUAGCGUAUAUUAAAGUUGUUGCAGUUAAAAAGCUCGUAGUUGGAUUUCUGGUUGAAGCGACCGGUCGGGCGUUGAUUCGUCUGCACUGGAGUCGGUUUUGGCCAUCCUCUAGGAAAGUGCGUCUGGUAUUAAGUUAUCGGGCGUAUGAUCCUGGUCUUUUACUGUGAAAAAAUUAGAGUGUUUAAAGCAGGCCUUCGCCUUGAAUACAUUAGCAUGGAAUAAUAAGAUAGGACUUUGGUCUAUUUUGUUGGUUUGCAGACCGAAGUAAUGAUUAAUAGGGAUAGUUGGGGGUAUUUAUAUUCCGACGUCAGAGGUGAAAUUCUUAGAUUUUCGGAAGAUAAACUUAUGCGAAAGCAUUUACCAAGGAUGUUUUCAUUAA
rnacentral:rRNA from 1 species